UACGUAGGGGGCAAGCGUUGUCCGGAAUUAUUGGGCGUAAAGGGCUCGUAGGCGGUUUGUCGCGUCGGCUGUGAAAACCUGGGGCUCAACCCCGGGCCUGCAGCCGAUACGGGCAAACUAGAAUUCGGUAGGGGAGACUGGAAUUCCUGGUGUAGCGGUGAAAUGCGCAGAUAUCAGGAGGAACACCGGUGGCGAAGGCGGGUCUCUGGGCCGAUAUUGACGCUGAGGAGCGAAAGCAUGGGGAGCAAACAGG
rnacentral:rRNA from 1 species